rnacentral:rRNA from 1 species
AUUGAACGCUGGCGGCAUGCCUUACACAUGCAAGUCGAACGGCAGCGCGGGGCAACCUGGUGGCGAGUGGCGAACGGGUGAGUAACAUAUCGGAACAUACCCUAGAGUGGGGGAUAACGUAGCGAAAGUUACGCUAAUACCGCAUACGCACUAAGGUGGAAAGUGGGGGAUUCGCAAGAACCUCAUGCUCAUGGAGUGGCCGAUAUCUGAUUAGCUAGUUGGUGAGGUAAAGGCUCACCAAGGCGACGAUCAGUAGCUGGUUUGAGAGAACGACCAGCCACACUGGAACUGAGACACGGUCCAGACUCCUACGGGAGGCAGCAGUGGGGAAUUUUGGACAAUGGGGCAACCCUGAUCCAGCAAUGCCGCGUGAGUGAAGAAGGCCUUCGGGUUGUUAAAAGGACGUACUUUUGUUCUAGGGAAGAAACGGUAGAGUUCUUAAUAUUACCACGACUAGCUGACGGUACCUCGAA